UCACCAGACCACAAUCAAUGGGUAAGGCGAUGGGCGACUGUUUGAUUUAGGUGACUUAGGCAAAUCUGUGGAUUACUCUCGGGCCUCUAAUGAGUGAGGCUGAUUAAUUGAUCGUCGGCGGGGAGUGCCCAGGCCUCCAUUUUGGAUAUGCAGCUGUCAUCAUGCGACAAUUUAAAAUGCAGAAGAGGAUGCUUGAUAAUGUCGGACUUGACUGGAACCAGGGAUCUGCCAAAUCUCCUCCUCCUCUGUCCUUUUCUCGACUCCCAUCUUCCCCUCCUCUCCGUUCUCUUUAGCAGGUGACCAUAUUGUGCUAAUUACAAUAUUAUUUAUUUUUGAUGUGUCGUGGUGGGCCUUGCUUUAAUGAUUUGAAAAAUCUCUAAAAGAGAUUGACAUGGUGCAAUAGUCAGUAAAGAUCCAUCUGCAGAAGAAUUGCUGGUUCUCCUGCUCUUCCUGUCGAACAAUGAGCUGUGAUUUUGCAUUUGGUUAAGAAGCAUUGAUUUUUGUCUCUGCAUUCAGUGCAGGGCUGCCCUAGCCUGUCUAGAGUGUCAGGGUGUAUGUGAAGGGUCCUAGAACCGUUCAGGGUGGAUGAUGGGGCUGCGAUGAAGGCCAGAUGAACGGCAGGUCCUCUUUUGCUGGAGCUCUAGUCAUGGCGGGUUCUGCGAAACGAGCAGGCGAACGGAGAAAGAGGCUCUUUGUAGUGGAUUGAUUUUCUCUUUCUCUGCGCCCUGCCCUCUAUUGUGGUUGGAUAGCUGGACGUCCAAGAGCAGAGACUGCAGGAUCUGCAGCGAGAGCUGCAAGAAAGCCAGCAGGAGCUCCAGAGGAGACACGACCGCAACCAGCAGCUUCUCAGGUUGCUGCAAGAUGCCAGGAAGCAAGAUCAGGAGCUACAGGCUCAGGUGGACAGAGUGACUGCAGAGCGUAGUUCGGUUCGGUCCAUAGUGGGCCAAAAGAGCUAAGAGGCACAAGAAGCUAGGAAGAAACUGGAGG
ensembl:lncRNA